rnacentral:tRNA from 1 species
CUGGCAGGGGGUGAUUAAUUAUAGCCGCCAGCAAACUGAUGGUUGGCCAAUGUCGAGUGACUAUAACGACACUG